rnacentral:lncRNA from 1 species
CUGCCUCUUCACUUCCUCUCACAAAAUCGAUUGCAAAUCUUAAAAUCAAAACACAUAGCAAGAAAGAGAUUGAAGGAGGCGAGGUGCAUGUGUGAUUGGCUCGAAAGUAGAAGAUGAGGAUUGGAUCUGGUUUUGGUUUUCUGGGUGAAAUUUUCAAGCUCAUCCCACUGCAAAUUUUUUUUUGGUUUUCUUGGUUAUCUGGGUUCGAAUUUUGGGAGUUGGAUCUGGUUUUGAAAAGGGAACCUUAGGAAAUUUUGUUGCUUUUUUUGUUUCGGAUUUUGUAGGAUCUGGGUUUGAAAUGGGUUGUGGGACGCGAGGAAGAGGUAGAUGGGAGGACGAAGCGGGUAGGAGUGAAGCGAGUAGAGCGGUCUUAGCAGUCCGCCCAAUUUCGGGGGGCCCCGCUAAGACCCUGUAGCGAAGCUGUUAGUCGGACUCAGUCUAGGCGAGUCUCAUUAAACGUAGUCCCCGCGUGAAACAAACACUGGAUUACAAUCCAGUCUAAUCCAAGAAAGUUUAGUGAAACCAAACAAACGGGCUCUACAUUCAUUUUUAACUGUGAUGUUGAUUUAUGCUUGGUAUGACUUUUAUCUAUAUGGAACUAAUGAUAUUGUUGGCGAGUCCUUGUAGUACCAUAAUCAAGGCAACUUUAAAGGAGUAGUGGUACAAUAUGAUGAUCCUUGUCACAGCUACAGAUCGAGAAGGUUCCAAUCCAUCGAAUAGAGCAAUGCCAUACUGCCACUGCAUGUGAGAUUUACAUCAGAACCUUUAAAAAGAAUGUCGACAACACUUAAAUACGUCGGGGGGAGGGGGGACUUUAACUU